CAGUCGCCGCGGUAAUACAGAGGGUGCGAGCGUUAAUCGGAUUUACUGGGCGUAAAGCGUGCGUAGGCGGCUUUUUAAGUCGGAUGUGAAAUCCCUGAGCUUAACUUAGGAAUUGCAUUCGAUACUGGGAAGCUAGAGUAUGGGAGAGGAUGGUAGAAUUCCAGGUGUAGCAGUGAAAUGCGUAGAGAUCUGGAGGAAUACCGAUGGCGAAGGCAGCCAUCUGGCCUAAUACUGACGCUGAGGUACGAAAGCAUGGGGAGCAAACAGGAUUAGAUACCCCUGUAGUCCCUGUCUCUUAUAC
rnacentral:rRNA from 1 species